rnacentral:lncRNA from 10 species
UCAGCACUUCUCCUUGCUGCCGCCAUGUGAAGAAGGAUGUUUUUGUUUCCUCUUCUGCCAUGAUUGUAAGUUCCUGAGGCCUCCCCAGCCACGCUGAACUGUCUCACAUGAAAUAGAAGCACAUGUGGUACAUGAAAUUUCUCUUGGAUGAUAUAUUAAAAGACGUAUUAAAUUGAUAGCAUCUCUUGAAGUCAAAUAAUAAAGGAGGGGGCUUAUAGGCAGAGGAACUUGCUUUUCCUCAUGUGAAUCUUUGGACUUGGACUCUUAAUGUUGGAAUGAGCUAAGACUUUGGAGGACUGUUGGAAAGACAUGAUUGUGUUUUGGAAUGUGAGGACAUUAACUUUGGGAGGGGCAGCUUGGUUGGAAUGAUAUGGUUUGGUUCUGUCCCUACCCAAAUCUCAUAUUUAAUUGUAGUUCUCAUAAUCCCAUAUGUCAUGGAAGACUCCUGGUGGGAGGUAAUUGAAUCAUGAGGGCAGUUUCCCCCAUGUUGUUCUCAUGAUAGUGAGUUCUCAUGAGAUCUAACAGUUUUAUAAGGGGCUUUCCCCUUUGCUCUGCAAUCAUUCUCUCUCCUGCUACCCUGUGAAGAGGUGCCUUCCACCAUGACUGUAAGUUUCCUGAGGCCUCUCCAACCAUGCAGAGCUGUGAGUCAAUUAAACCUCUUUCCUUUAUUCAUUACCCAGUCUCAGGUAUUACUUCUUAGCAGUGUGAGAGCAGACAAAUACUGAGAAGGCAAUAAAGGUUAAGUGACGUCAUAAGGAUGGAGUCCUAAUUUGAUAGGGCUAGGGUCCUUUUAAGAAAAAUAGACAUCAAACCUUUCUCUCUGCCAUGUGAGGACACAAUGAGAAGGCAACAGUCUUCAAUCCAGGGAAAGAAACCUCUCAAGGAACUGAAUCAGUGAUAAGAAAUAAAAAUAAAAUUCUAAGCCCCUAGCUGACUGAACAAACACCCUAUUGACCAAGAGGACCCCAGAGAAACCUUGAUAGCUGAGUUUCUAGUCAUAAUACAAUAGGAGGUGGGACACAUUUUACUAUACCUUCUCCCUUGCUUACUGUCAUCAAGCUUUCUUCUCUAACGGAUAAACAGGAAACAGCUUUUUCAAAAGACUUCACACUAAAAUUUGACUGGCUUUAAAUAAAAGACUCUAUGCUAAUAAUAUUGAUUACUAGCUUAUCUUCCUAGGCACAGAACAAAGAAAACAUGAGAUUAAUCAUGCCUUUGCUUCUCCCUGAGACAUCUUUUUCUUCUUUUCUCCUGUUCUUCAAACAUUCGCCUUAUGUAAAAUGUAGAUUUAAUGGGCACUAUCUAAAGUCUCACAGGUAUGUAAACAUUUGUCUCAUCGCUGUCCCCUUUUUAAAGGAAAAUGAAUAAAUACUAAACCUCCUGAGAAUCUCUUUGAAAAAAGAAAAAAACAGCCACAGAUGCAUUGGUGACUAGUGUUUCUUUCAGGUAUGUCCUCAAACUGGCUCAACUAGCUUUUAUGUAUGUAUUGGGUCACCUGACUUAGUCACCCAGUUUAGUUGCCAGCCAGUACCUUCAUCUUGGACUUUGCAGCCUCCAGAAAUGUGAAAACAAAUAUUUUUUGCUGUUUAAGCUACCAUUCUAUGGUAUUUUGUUAUUGGAAACUUCAGCAACGUAUCAUAGUGACACAAAAAGAAUGUAAAAAGUCAGUUUGCUUGCUCUUUGUCUUCUGACUGAAAAUGCAAAGAGCUAGUAAAGAAGUUAUUCCAUUAUACAGUGUGCCUGUAUAAUUUGAAUAGGUAAUUCAAAUACCUGGAGAUGAUCCAGAGAGAUCACCUACUGUUUAUAGUAAAUAAUUAAUUGCAAAAGUUUUAAAAAAUAACUGGUUUUCUGAGCCAUUGCCUAGGUCAUACAAAUAGUGUUCCUAAAUCUUUUGUAUAGAAUUAAAAGUAUUCAUACAUUUUUGUUAUCCGAGUUAUGUUUUAUUUUUUCACUAUACACUGCAUUUACUCCUUUUUUUUUUUUUUUUUUUUUUUUUGAGAUGGAGUCUUGCUCUGUUGCCCGGGCUGGAGGGCAGCGGUGCGAUCUCCACUCACUGCAAGCUCUGCUGCCUCCCGGGUUCACGCGAUUCUCCUGCCUCAGCCUCCUGAGUAGCUGUGACUACAGGCACCCG